AAAUAGUACUUUGCAGAGAGAGUUAACAGGGCGUGAAACCGUUAAUUGGCAAACGAAUCGGAGCCACGAAGUCGUUUCGCUGAUAUGUUGGGCCAAGUUCAGUUUAUAAACCAAAAUUUAUAGGCGCACUCUUGGUUCGACCAUCAUUGUAAGCGUACACUGCAACCAGUUAGACAAUUGGCCAUGGGCUUAGUUGUUUGAGUUAGUAGUAGUGCGGCAGUUUUCGGAUUGUUCGUAUUGCUGGACUUGUAACAAGUGAACUAUGGCCAAAUACUGACUGGCACAUUGAAAAUCGCCACUGUGCGUUAUAUAAAAUGCGAUUCAUUGCAUUCAAGUCUACACAUUUGACCAUGCGGUCUAAGCUCAGCGUUUUUGAAUUUGGACUUGCUCGCUACCAGUGGGGCAACUCCUGGUGCUUGUACAGCUUUCAUCUAAUCGGGCGUUGACUUGGCCAUGUGUCGUUCGGGUGUGCAUCGUUUGGAUUUAAAUGUAAGUGAAUUCGCCAUUUGAUUGGCAGUGAGUAGGUCGGCUUUCCGAACGACCCGUCUUGAAACACGGACCAAGGAGUCUAAUUAGGCAUCGAGUCGAUCGGUCUUGAAUAGGCCAGAUAAAGGGGAAUUCCUCAAGUGAAGGCGAAGAGAAAUCGUGUGAUCAUGGGAACAAUACCAGUUCUCGUGCGCAACAUGUGCCUGUUCGUAUAGCAAUGUGUUAAAAUUGCUGAGCGGAGCAAAGAGAUGCUUGAUUGGUACCCGAAAGAUGGUGAUGCUUGGGCAAAUUGAAGCCAGAGGAAACUCUGGUGGAGGAUUGUAGCGAUUCUGACGUGCAAAUCGAUCGUCAGACCUGAGUAUAGGGGCGAAAGACUAAUCGAACCAUC
rnacentral:rRNA from 1 species